rnacentral:rRNA from 1 species
UACAGAGGGUGCAAGCGUUAAUCGGAAUUACUGGGCGUAAAGCGCACGUAGGCGGUUUUUUAAGUCAGAUGUGAAAGCCCCGGGCUCAACCUGGGAAUUGCAUUUGAAACUGGGAAACUAGAGUGUGUGAGAGGGGGGUAGAAUUCCAAGUGUAGCGGUGAAAUGCGUAGAGAUUUGGAGGAAUACCAGUGGCGAAGGCGGCCCCCUGGCACAACACUGACGCUCAGGUGCGAAAGCGCGGGGAGCAAACAGG